rnacentral:rRNA from 1 species
UACAGAGACUGUAAGCGUUAUUCGGAUUCACUGGGCGUAAAGGGUGCGCAGGCGGUUGUGUGUGUCAGGUGUGAAAGCCCGGGGCUUAACCCCGGAAUUGCGCCUGAAACUACAUGACUAGAGCAUUGGAGAGGGUAGCGGAAUUCACGGUGUAGCAGUGAAAUGCGUAGAUAUCGUGAGGAACACCAGAGGCGAAGGCGGCUACCUGGACAAUUGCUGACGCUCAGGCGCGAAAGCGUGGGGAGCAAAAGGG